CCCUGUUAUUCUAUUAUAAUAUAAUAUUUCAAAAAGAUACAAUAUAAUAAAUUUGACGGUAUUAACUUUUACAAAGGAAUUUGUUUCUAAUAAUCGAAAAUACACGAUAAACCUUACUUAAUAUAUAUUUGUAUACCACCGUACUUCAGAAAUUAUUUAAAAUAAAUUUCAAAAAAAAAACUUUUAAAAAAUCAGGUCAAGGUGCAAUUUAAUUAAGACGAAAUGAAUUACAUUAAUAUUAAUUACAUAUAAAUACUGAAAGAUAUUUAAAAAUAGAAUUUGUUAGUAAAAUUAAAUCAUUAUGUAAAUUUGAAAACUAACAUUAAUAUGUACAUAUCGCCCG
rnacentral:rRNA from 1 species